rnacentral:misc_RNA from 1 species
GGCAGAUCUAAUGCCAUGGUAUCUUUAUUUUGGAUCCUUAUUUUGUGUUGUACCUGUAUUUUGCUUUUACAUACUGUUAAUCCAUCCCUGAUUUUCUUCAAGGCAUUUGGUUGAGUCUACAUGGAAAACUUUUGAAAAUGUCAAAUUCUAGUUAAAUCUUAUGCGAGUAGGCUUGUGGGACUAUGGAAAUGAGUUACUACCUAGUGGAUGCCAAAUUCUUGUGAUGACAUGUAGCUUUUGUCUCAGGCCCUACAAAGAAGAAGAAGCUC